ACUCCCAUUACUGAAAUCCCACCUCCCAUUUUGGUCCAAUUUUGGGGCCGCUUGGGGCUGUUUUGGGCCAUUUUGGUGCCAUUUGGGGGCCGUUUUGGGGCCAUUUGGGGGCCAUUCUGGUCGCUCACCUGCUUGUUGCAGUGCUCAGAAUCCUCUAAACCCCAUUCCUGAAAACCCACUUCCCAUUUUGGUCCAACUUUGGUGCCAUUUUGGGCCGUUUUGGAGCCAUUUGGUGCCAUUUUGGGCCAUUUUGGUGCCGUUUGGUGCCAUUUUGGGGUCGUUUUGGGGCCGUUGUGGUCGCUCACCUGCUUGUUGCAGUGCUCAGAAUCCUCAAAACNNNNNNUCCCACCUCCCAUUCUGGGGCCAUUUUGGGCCAUUUUGGAGCCAUUUCGGGGCCAUUUGGUGCCAUUUUGGGCCAUUUUGGUGCCGUCUGGUGCCAUUUUGGUGCCAUUUUGGGCCAUUUUGGUGCCAUUUGGGGUCAUUUUGGGGCCGUUGUGGUCGCUCACCUGCUUGUUGUAGUGCUCAGAAUCCUCAAAACCCCAUUUCUCAAAUCCCAGCUCCCAUUCUGGGGCCAUUUUGGUGCCAUUUUGGACCAUUUUGGUGCCAUUUGGUGCCAUUUUGGGGCCAUUUUGGUGCCAUUUUGGGCCAUUUUGGUGCCAUUUUGGGCCGUUUUGGGGUCGUUUUGGGGCCGUUGUGGUCGCUCACCUGCUUGCUGUAAUGCUCCGAAUCCUCUAAACCCCAUUUCUCAAAUCCCACCUCCCAUUUUGGUGCCAUCUGGGGCCAUUUUGGAGCCAUUUUGGUGCCGUUUGGUGCCAUUUGGUGCCGUUUGGUGCCAUUUUGGGCCAUUUUGGUGCCAUUUUGGGCCAUUUUGGGGCCAUUUUGGUGCCAUUUGGGGCCGUUUUGGGGCCGUUUGGUCGCUCACCUGCUUGUUGUAGUGCUCAGAAUCCUCUAAACCCCAUUUCUCAAAUCCCACCUCCCAUUCUGGGGCCAUUUUGGGCCAUUUUGGAGCCAUCUGGGGCCAUUUUGGGGCCGUUUGGUGCCAUUUUGGUGCCAUUUUGGGCCAUUUCCGUGCCAUUUUGGGCCAUUUUGGUGCCAUUUUGGGGCCGUUUGGUCGCUCACCUGCUUGCUGUAAUGCUCCGAAUCCUCUAAACCCCAUUUCUCAAAUCCCACCUCCCAUUU
rnacentral:lncRNA from 1 species